UCCCCAAGCGGCUGGGCCACACCUCCGGUCAUGGCCCCUAUGGCACCAGACUGACUGGGGAAGAUGCAAUACUCCUUCGUCCCCGGGACAGAGUGGACUCAGACACAGAGUGAGAGUUCAAGCGCAAGAGGCUUGGUGGGGCGACCAGCGUGGUUUGGCUGCGCUAAGAGGCUGCGAUGUGUCGCUCAGGGGAACACCCCACCCCACCCCCACAGGAGGCGGUAGCCCUGUCCCUGUCAUCCCCCAGGUCCGGAGGAAGGAGACCUUGCUGAAGCAGACUUUCAGGAGGGUUCUGUGAAAAUAAACGAGGCCGCCGAUUGGAAUAGAGUCUGAUGCCGAGGGAGGCGGCAGAUGACCUUGGCCUCUCCUUUCCCAAAAGACUUUGUAAAUGUUCUCUUCAGGGAAGCCAUACUUCUCGGAGAUCUGGAAGAGAGCAGUAGGGGGGUUGUUAUCUGCUGCCCAAACUGGAUCCUUUCCAGCCUUUCAUACUCUGACUUAUAUUUCCUGGUUAUAAAAGUAAUAUACAUCCCUACUGUGGAAAAAUGCGAAGAAGAAGUUUACAAUUGUCCAUAAUCCUGUUUCUCAGAGACGAACAUGUGUGUGCACUCUCUCCC